rnacentral:rRNA from 1 species
GGCGAACGGGUGAGUAACACGUGAGUAACCUGCCCUUGACUUUGGGAUAACUUCAGGAGACUGGGGCUAAUACCGGAUAGGAGCUCCUGCUGCAUGGUGGGGGUUGGAAAGUUUCGGCGGUUGGGGAUGGACUCGCGGCUUAUCAGCUUGUUGGUGGGGCAGUGGCUUACCAAGGCUUUGACGGGUAGCCGGCCUGAGAGGGUGACCGGCCACAUUGGGACUGAGAUACGGCCCAG